UUCUGUUCCUGCCUGGAGACGGGAGGCUUAGUGUGAUUGGUAACUCUCAGAAGGUUGGCAGCUGCAGCUUCAGAUGGGCCUCUGUGGAAGUGAGACCAAGAAGGCAGUGACAAGGUUUCACUGUGGCCUCCAUCUGAGGCUCCUAGAUGUCCCCAUGAGCCCUGCACUGUGGGAUGACUGCAGAGAUAAAGACCAGCUGGAGAAGUUGGGGAGCAAUCCUGGAGUCAGACGGGAGACAUUUGCCUGGAAGUGAGAGAGAUCAGUCCUGAGCCAAUGUUGGGGGAUCCACCCUCACGGUUCAUCACCUUCAAGUACCAUUACACUCAGUCCAGAGAGAUGAUGAUACAAAAAAUUAUAUUGGGGUAUCAAAUAAGAGCCAAGAUACAUCAUGUACAGGUACAAGCACCC